GUAGGUGAACCUGCGGAGGGAUCAUAUUGAGGAUAGAUAGUAACCUAAAAGGAUAUUAUUAUAAGAAGAGCACUUGGAUGAGAGAAGGAGUUAGAGUAGUAAUGUACUCUAACGAUAUCCUUUAUAAAUAAGAUAUUAUAAAAAAAGAUGUUAUAAAAAGAUAUAAAAAAACAACUUUUAACAACGGAUCUCUAGGCUCUU
rnacentral:misc_RNA from 1 species